rnacentral:rRNA from 1 species
CCUACGGGUGGCAGCAGUGAGGAAUAUUGGUCAAUGGGCGGGAGCCUGAACCAGCCAAGUCGCGUGAGGGAAGACGGUCCUAUGGAUUGUAAACCUCUGUCAGCAGGGAAGAACGGUCACUGUGCUAAUCAGCAGUGGAUUGACGGUACCUGCAAAGGAAGCACCGGCUAACUCCGUGCCAGCAGCCGCGGUAAUACGGAGGGUGCGAGCGUUAAUCGGAAUUACUGGGCGUAAAGCGCUCGUAGGCGGUAUGUCAAGUCAAGGGUGAAAUCCCCGCGCUCAACGUGGGAACUGCCUUUGAAACUGGCAAACUGGAGUGUGUGAGAGGAUAGUGGAAUUCCAGGUGUAGGAGUGAAAUCCGUAGAUAUCUGGAGGAACAUCAGUGGCGAAGGCGACUAUCUGGCACAUAACUGACGCUGAGGAGCGAAAGCGUGGGUAGCAAACAGGAUUAGAUACCCUGGUAGUC